UGGAUCACUGAUGAUCAAUUCCAACAUAUGAGUCAUUGAUGAUGAAUAAUGUGUCGGGAACUCUGAGGUCCAA
ensembl:snoRNA